GGGAAGGCCUGGGUCGCUUCCAGCCUGUUUGGUGUCUCGCGGGCUGUCCAGGAGUUUGGUCUGGCCAGGUUCAAAAGCAACGUGACCAAGAGCACUAAGGGAUUUGAAUACGUGCUAGCAAGAAUGCAAGGAGAAGCUCCAUCCAAAACGCUGGUUGAGACAGCCAAGGAAGCGACAGAGAAAGCCAAGGAGACAGCUCUGGCUGCAACGGAGAAAGCAAAGGACUUGGCGAGCAAGGCGGCCACCAAGAAGAAGCAGUACGUGUGAGGGGCCAGGCACAGGUGGGCACCGGCUGCACCAGAACAGAUAGGAGCCUCCUUAGAUUUUAUAUUUUUAAGCAAACUGUUCAAGUCUGACAAUCAGCUGCUGUUAGACCCUCUCCGAGAUGUAAUUAUCAUUAAAGAAUCCACGCCUGCCUCU